rnacentral:rRNA from 1 species
AAUGAACGCUGGCGGCAUGCCUUACACAUGCAAGUCGAACGCCCGUGGCAACACGGGAGUGGCGAACGGGUGAGUAACGCGUGGGAACCUGCCCCGAAGUUCGGAAUAACCGCGGGAAACUGCGGCUAAUACCGGAUGUGGCCUGAGGGCCAAAGGCGCAAGCCGCUUUGGGAGGGGCCCGCGUCCGAUUAGCUAGUUGGCGGGGUAACGGCCCACCAAGGCGACGAUCGGUAGCUGGUCUGAGAGGAUGAUCAGCCACACUGGAACUGAGACACGGUCCAGACUCCUACGGGAGGCAGCAGUGGGGAAUAUUGGACAAUGGGGGAAACCCUGAUCCAGCAAUGCCGCGUGGAUGUUAAGGCCUUCGGGUUGUAAAGUCCUUUCGGCGGGGACGAUGAUGACGGUACCCGCAGAAGAAGCCCCGGCUAACUUCGUGCCAGCCGCCGCAGUAA